rnacentral:rRNA from 1 species
UACGGGGGGGGGCAAGCGUUGUUCGGAAUUACUGGGCGUAAAGGGUGGGCAGGCGGCCGUGUCAGAUGGGUGUGAAAUCUCCCGGCUCAACCGGGAGGGGCCACUCGUGACUGCACGGCUGGAGGGCAGCAGAGGCGCGUGGAAUUCCGGGUGGAGUGGUGAAAUGCGUAGAGAUCCGGAGGAACACCAGAGGCGAAAGCGGCGCGCUGGGCUGCACCUGACGCUGAACCACGAAAGCCAGGGUAGCGAACGGG